rnacentral:rRNA from 1 species
UUUCGCAAUGCCCGAAAGGGUGACGAAGCGACGCCGCGUGGGUGAGGAAGGCCUUCGGGUUGUAAAGCCCUGUCAGGAGUUAUGAAAUGUAAGUGCGCUAAUAUCGUGCUUAUUUGACAAAGGCUCCAAAGGAAGCCACGGCUAACUCUGUGCCAGCAGCCGCGGUAAUACAGAGGUGGCGAACGUUGUUCGGAAUUAUUGGGCGUAAAGAGCACGUAGGUGGGUUUGCAAGUCAGAUGUGAAAGCCUUCUGUUCAACGGAAGAAUUGCAUCUGAAACUGCUAAUCUUGAGUAUAGGAGGGGAGAAUGGAACUUCUGGUGGAGCGGUGAAAUGCGUAGAUAUCAGAAGGAACGCCGGCGGCGAAAGCGAUUCUCUGGCCUAUUACUGACACUCAGUGUGCGAAAGCUAGGGGAGCAAACGGGAUUAGAUACCCCGGUAGUCCUAGCCGUAAACGAUGGGCACUAAGUAGAGGGGUUUUA